rnacentral:rRNA from 1 species
UACGAAGGGGCUAGCGUUGUUCGGAAUUACUGGGCGUAAAGCGCGCGCAGGCGGCUAUCCAAGUCAGUGGUGAAAGCCCGGAGCUCAACUCCGGAACUGCCAUUGAAACUGUUUAGCGUUGAGGAUGAGAGAGGUGAGUGGAAUUCCCAGUGUAGAGGUGAAAUUCGUAGAUAUUGGGAAGCAACACCGGAUGGCGAAGGCAGCCCCCUGGGUCAAGAUUGACGCUACAUGCACGAA